rnacentral:RNase_P_RNA from 2 species
CCAGCUCCAAAGCCACGAGGCUCGCGACACACAGGAAGACUGGCCUUCGGGCUUGAUCUUUCCCUCUCGCGAGCGGGCUAAGGUCUGAGUAUUUUCGCCCCCAUUAUUGGCUCCAGACGGGCCCUUUCUUAACGGAUUGGCGGGGUGUACCAGAAAAUCGGCUGCUUGUUCUCACUCCAAAGACUCCGCGAGGACGAGGGCAUAGGUCAAGCGGCCUUGGGAAACACUUCGGGGGUUGGGCACACUGCUGCUGCCUUUAGGCCGGCGGUACAAGUCCUUUAGUGCACUUCGUGGCCCGCUUUACGCGCUUCGUCGCUGGCGGAACUCGAUUCAGACUACUCUGGGACUGG